AGUGAACGCUGGCGGCAGGCCUAACACAUGCAAGUCGAGCGGCAGCGCGUCCGACCACCCUCGGGUGGUCGGAUGGCGGCGAGCGGCGGACGGGUGAGGAAUGCAUCGGAAUCUGCCUCGUUGUGGGGGAUAACGUAGGGAAACUUACGCUAAUACCGCAUACGACCUACGGGUGAAAGUGGGGGACCUUCGGGCCUCACGCGAUGAGAUGAGCCGAUGCCGGAUUAGCUAGUUGGCGGGGUAAAGGCCCACCAAGGCGACGAUCCGUAGCUGGUCUGAGAGGAUGGUCAGCCACACUGGAACUGAGACACGGUCCAGACUCCUACGGGAGGCAGCAGUGGGGAAUAUUGGACAAUGGGGGCAACCCUGAUCCAGCCAUGCCGCGUGUGUGAAG
rnacentral:rRNA from 1 species